UAUUAUACCUCCCAUAAAGGAUCCUAACUACAUUUUAACACAAAUGUAUGGAAAUUGAAAAAGAUUUUUUAAAAUUAAAUAUUUUGUGAAAUAGUGGAUUUCCUUAGUACUUGGAAAGUCCAUUGCAAGUAAUUGUCUGUAAGCAACCUUUGCUAGAAAUAAUGUUUACUUUGUCUUGUGUUUGAGCAAUGAAUAUUGCCAUUUUCCACCAAUCACUAUCCAUUAAAAGUAUACCAAUAAAUAAUAUAAUAGCUCUUUCUCAUUUCAGAUAUAUCCCAUUUAUGUGGUGUAAAUGAUAACAUGUACAGAAACACUUCAUUCACAAAUGCAGGAUACACACUCAGACAAACACACACAAUACCAUCAAAUGCAGGAUACCUAAGUUGAACCAAUAAAUUCAAUAUAAACUUUCAACUAAUACCAUCCAAAAGCUUCAUAGAAUUGAAGACACCCUACCAUCAAACUAUUAUCCAGAAUAUGAAAUUGAUGGAGUGCACAAAGGCUUUUCAUCUUUACCAUGAUACUUGUACAAAGUCCCAAAACAUCAAAUGGUGCAGCUACUACAGCAGCAGUAGGGAAUCUAUUCACACUAACAACAUCCAAUAACAAGUGCCGUCAAUAUUACGGUAAAAAGAUCCCGCCAAUGCCGAUUAUCCAAAAAAACAUCCAGGCAAACGGCGAAAAGGUAAAAUAGAUAAAUGAAGAAGCAUCUCAAAAUGUAAAAUGGGAAUUUAGAGAUGAACAAAAUUCCAAUACGAAAAUGUAUCAAGUACCGUUAAAACAUCAGCAUUCCGAAAUGCUCAACAUGUCAAAGACUUAAUUAACAAAAACCUAAGUAUAACCGGAAAUGAAGCUUCAGUUACUUAGAUCGCUGCCUCAUCUUUCGGCGCUUCCUCUUCAAUCUCCUCAUUCGCUUCUUCUUCCACUGAAUAUACAAGAGUAAUGAGUUAAAUUAAUUCACGAUUAAGUAACCAAUUCAAGAUAUAAAGAAGGGUUUAUCUAGAUUGCGAAAACUAGAUAGUUACCUUAGCUCUCAUUGCAACAAACUUAAAUCUUUCACUUCGUCUUUCAACCCUUUCUGUGCAAACACGACGGCGGGAAAUGAAGGUAUCAGAGACAGAUCUCGCUAUUGUUUAUAAA
rnacentral:lncRNA from 1 species